CAGAAAUGCGAAGGGUCAGUGAAGGAAGGGAAGGCUAAGGAGAAAAGCAGAACGGCUGAAGGAAAGAUGUGUUUCUUGCUUGAAUAACUCCCUAACAAUCUGCUGAAGGAGUGAUUUUGUAUCAGGCUGAAACCCCAAACCAGCAUCAUUUUAAUUUGCCAAGCACCUGUGAAAGAAUGCAGCUGCAAGACCAUGGGAAAACAAUGGGAACUGUGACAGUUCAUUAAUAUAAACCAGCAACGAGAUUUAUUUGGUAAAGUCAUUGAUACAGAAUUACACUGGAGGACACAGUGGCAUUCCUGAAGUAUGCCAGCCAGCAGCUAACCGAGAUUCUAGAUUUGUGUACAUCAUUUGAACUUCAAUGGUUAUUUGUUUGCUUUGGUCGCUGUUUCCGGUGAAGCAAGAGUUUGGAGAGUGCAAGCGGUGUCAGAACCGUGCUGUGCACAGCUGGGAACGAAGGCACCUCUCCAUGCAAAGCCAGCUCUCGGAUCCAAACCGAUGCAAAGGGAAAAGCUCCGUGCAGGGGGAACAUCGGGGCUGUCCUCGGGCAGGCGCAGCAGCAGCAUCAAGCACGGACCCGGACCUCUGGGUGCAGGACCCGGACCAGGUAUCCCUGAUGAGAUUCAUCAAACUGGGGCAGUUCCUUAGGGCACGAAGCACCGUGAGGAGCCACGUCCAUGAGACGACGACCAGCGAACUCCUGCAUCAUUCUGAAAUCACCACGGAGGAGUUACUCGGUCUGUGCAAUCCUCAACCUCGUUUCCUCGCUGUAGAUAGCCUGGUAUAG
rnacentral:lncRNA from 1 species